rnacentral:rRNA from 1 species
UACGUAGGGGGCAAGCGUUGUCCGGAGUUACUGGGCGUAAAGCGCGCGCAGGCGGCGGUGUAAGCAUGGCGUGAAAGCCCCAGGCUUAACCUGGGAGGGUCGUCGUGGACUGCACCGCUUGAGGGCGGUAGGGGCUGGUGGAAUGCCUGGUGUAGUGGUGAAAUGCGUAGAGAUCAGGCGGAACACCCGUGGCGAAGGCGGCCAGCUGGGCCGUCCCUGACGCUGAGGCGCGAAGGCGUGGGGAGCGAACGGG